rnacentral:rRNA from 1 species
AACGAACGCUGGCGGCAGGCCUAACACAUGCAAGUCGAACGUGUAGCCACCUUCGGGUGGUGGAAAGUGGCAGACGGGUGAGUAACGCGUGGGAACGUGCCUUUCGGUUCGGGAUAACCCAGGGAAACUUGGGCUAAUACCGGAUACGCCCUCCGGGGGAAAGAUUCAUUGCCGAAAGAUCGGCCCGCGUCGGAUUAGCUAGUUGGUGGGGUAAAAGCCUACCAAGGCGACGAUCCGUAGCUGGUCUGAGAGGAUGACCAGCCACACUGGGACUGAGACACGGCCCAGACUCCUACGGGAGGCAGCAGUGGGGAAUAUUGGACAAUGGGCGAAAGCCUGAUCCAGCCAUGCCGCGUGGGUGAAGAAGGCCUUAGGGUUGUAAACCCCUUUCAGCGGGGAAGAUAAUGACGGUACCCGCAGAAGAAGUCCCGGCUAACUCCGUGCCAGCCGCCGCGGUAA